UACAGAGGUCUCAAGCGUUGUUCGGAUUCAUUGGGCGUAAAGGGUGCGUAGGUGGCGCUGUAAGUCGGGUGUGAAAUUUCGGAGCUUAACUCCGAAACUACAUUCGAUACUGCGGUGCUUGAGGACUGGAGAGGAGACUGGAAUUCAUGGUGUAGCAGUGAAAUGCGUAGAGAUCAUGAGGAAGACCAGUGGCGAAGGCGGGUCUCUGGACAGUUCCUGACACUGAGGCACGAAGGCCAGGGGGGCAAACGGG
rnacentral:rRNA from 1 species